UGGAAAUUAAGGCAACUGAAGAAUGUUUUGGAUCAGAGGUUUCCCCACUAAUCAGUCUCCUCUGAUGAGCAUGCGCAUUUUAGCUAUACUACUUGGCAUGAUUUUACUAUUGUGAAGGGUUUUGGAGAAUAAUCUCAAGGCAAUUUAUUUCUUUCCAUUGGGCUAAUCCCUUCUUCAGAGCCCAGCUCAUUUUCAACGCUGCUGCGUUGCGUUGCUGUCUUCCCCCUCCCCUUCAGUGCGACAGCCUCAGAGCUGCUGAAAAGACAGAAAGUAUGCAACUGGAUAAAUUCGGAAAUGUGGAAUUCAUGGAUCAAAUGGUACUUGCAGAGUUAAAGCUGUCUGGAUUCAGUUCCUGGAAUUUUCUAGAAUGGUAUAACAGGAAAAUAUUUUAAGGGAGACUUGCCUGGAAAAAGACUUGUGCCAGCAGUGUACAACUCACUCUUUUAUGCCCACACGGAUCACCUCCAGGCCCAGACUUGCACACAAACUUGCCCUAAACCACACAAGCACACCUCAAGGCAUAGUCAUAACCACCACAGCAAGAGACUUGCCCCUCAGCACAGGGUCACUUCCCACAUCACUAGAUUCUCCCAAUGAUGCUCACAGGUUCACCUUAACACGGAGACCCAUCUGAGGGACACCGAACAGGGGCCACAGGACAGAAACUUGCCCUGCAGAGACAAUCCCAACCUCACAGACUGUCUUCAUAUCAAUCAGACUCCUCCUAGGAUGCACAGACACACAAACUUAUGACAGGGAACAGGGAUUCUCUCACAGCCUGCAGAUAGUCCCCGUAGCACAGAACACAGACUGGACUGUCCACAGCAUGGACUCUCACUCUAGCACAUGCGUCUCUCCACAAUGCAGACUUUCCCUUCAGAGCACAGACCCAUGACAUAGCUCGAAGACCCAUGCCUCGACCCUAAGACUCCUGCGACAGACCGACUCACCCCAGGGCACAGGACACUGACUGUCCCAGCAGGACACUGACUCACUCGGGCUACACAGCCAGAUUUACCCCACGAAACAGGACUGAACCCACAGUCCAGACAGUUCCCAUAGCACUCAGUCAAAUUUAUCCACCACACAGAGUUCCAGCUUUGUGGUGUGCAGCAGAUACAUAACACGGCAAUGCACAGGCUUGGAUCACAACACACCAGUUGCCCUUCAGUGGACCAGUGCAUUUCAUAACAAACACAGUGAGCACACUGUGGAAACACUUUACGGCCAUUCUCGUCCUACAACAUCUGGCCUCCCCUCAGGCUCACCCUCACCACACACCCCAUGGCCCGCUGUCACCAGAACACACCCCGGAUUCCGCAGACACACGGUCAUACAUGGGCAUACGUCACAGUGCACACGUGACGCUGCAGCACACAGGCGGGCACUACAAUGGACAAACUUGUUCCACAACACACAUGGGUGCUGCAGGAGCACCUCACAAUGCACUUUUCCCUCAGUCACCCCACACCAUCUAUGCAGCCCCCAACAUGGAAACAUCCUGCAGCGCGACACUCCAGCCCCACGGUGCUCACAGUGAUGGUGUGGCACGGACUUGCCAUCCAGCAUCAUUUCCUCAAACCCACACUGCUUACAGUGAGUGGCUACACAGUGUGGACACGUGCUCUAAAACACCUAAAACCAGUUGUCAAGUGUUGCUUUGGAUUUACCAGAAGCACCGAGACUGGUUACACUGCUCACACUGCUGCUCAUAGUGUAAGCUGUGUGCAGAACUGCACCAAAAUGCAGCUUCUCCCAUCAAUACACUGACUCUUCUCACAACUCACAUAUACACUGCUGCACACUAAGACUCACCACCCUAUGUGCUCAGGACACGGACUUACCCCACAACACUUGGACUUGCCUUAAAGUCACACCCACAAUAUUAGACAUGCCUUAAAAUUCACAGCAUGCCUGUAAAUAGAGAUUUAUUCCACAAUGAACAGGAUUGCAUCACAACACACACCUUAGUCUGGAGCACAAAACCUACAGUGUACAUGAACAUUUCCCACUGCGUAGACUCACAGCACACAUAUUACCCUCCUUCGCAAAGAUUUCUAUUUGAGUGGACAGUCAUGCUUUACGAUACUGUUGAGCUACAACUCUGGCAUUCAACAGAGAUACAGCUUUUGCAAUGGUUAAGAGCAAGGCCUCUGGACCCAGAACACCUGGGUUUGAAUCCAGAUCCCAUCCCUUGCUAAAUGUAUCACCAUGGAUUUGCCUCAGAAGUCAGCCUUGCUCCAGAGAACUACAGAAAUGCCUCGCAAUGCCUUCAGUGAACCUACAAUAAAAAGACUCAACUCCACCAUGCCCAGACUCACCUCCUCACACCAACAGAUGACCUAUAACCCAGAGAAUCUGAAAAGAGGACCCACAUGCUCACACAAACUUGGAGGAUCUGGAAGAUGUGGAAAGAACACGGACUAGAAGGGGAGGAAGAGCGCUUCGCGCCCGCUGCACAUUGCCAUCUAGUGACCAUACUGAAUGGUGGUGUUGGUAGUCCUGACCUCAGCCUGGUAGCCUGACCUUGAACCCAGAGUUCCAGGUUCCCUUCACAACUUCAAGUGAUUGUUGGGCAGCAUUUGAGUGUACACAUUCUGCACCCUUGAGGAAUUUGGAACUACGCGCAAGUUCAAGCCCUGUUUAUUUAUCUUGUGAAUUUAUCACUUGCUUAUUCAGUAUUACAUGUUAAUAUUGUAAACUGCACGCUGAUGUGAAACUUGCAUUGUAAAUUUGCAUAAAUUGGGUAAGAAUUGCCUUAAAGCAAAAGAAAAAGAAAGUAGAUGCUAGAGAAAAAAGACGAGUGAAGAGGGUGAGAAAGGUAAUGUUGAUAGCAAAUAAAAUGAGAAGUUUGAAAUGCAUGGUAAUAGUGAAAAAAACCCAAGACCUCUAAAGGACAUUUUUUGGCAUUAAUGAAUGCCCAAUGUGUACAAAAAAGAAAAAUGAGAAGUCAGUUAGGGCCGGUGCACUGAGUGAUACAUCAGAAUUUCUAGGAAAAUUAUACAUAAUUUGAAAUGCUAAAGUAGAGACAAUGGAAAUAGAUUUACAUUUGUGGAAACUUUCCCUAUGUAUUAUCCACCAGUGAGCGUCACAAAAAUGCGAGUUCAACUUUCUAUCUGGAAGAAAACUUAUAACACGCAUGGCUGGCAGAGAAAGCGGAUCAUGAAGCUGCUGUAGAAUGUCCUGAGUAAUAGAGGAGCCCUGUUGAAGAAAUGGUUUUCCUAAACAUGUUUUCAAUGCUCAGGAAAUGUUCUGUCCUGGAAGUGCACACCAACUUGCACAUCCAUUGUGAAGGGGGAGAAGGAUCUAUCUUCCAUGCCAUCCAAACCUGUAGUUCAAACAACGCUGCACACAUAGUUGAACCUUGGGAUUCAGACUCACGUGGCUCUAACAAUGUGCUGAUCCAUGUGCUGGGGGAUGAAAGUGAAGCAGAAGACUGAUCUUACUUCUCUGCAAACAAAACCUGAUCUUCUCUCUUCUCUCCCUAUCACUGCCAUCAUAACUACCAUUUUCAUUUGUACAUUAUCAUCCUAACCUUUAGAUCAGGGAGAAAUAGAAGUCUGUUGCCCGCUAAUCAUUAUGGCUAAUGUAAAAUUUGUAAGACAUCAUUGAGAUUCACGUUAGCGCUUUAUUUCAGUGAACAGGAGGCCAAUUCUGUGGGCUUUUACAAUACUUCCUUUUCUGCCCCAUGUUUUCCUUAAAAGGUUUUAAAGUCCUCCAACAUACAUGCUACGAAUGUUUCGGGAACUCAACCCUAGAAUCCAAAGAAAGGGCUACUAUACUGUAUUUGACAGUUUGCUUUUUAACUUUUGACCCUGAAGUUUAUUUUAAUUCUGAUUAAGCUUGACUAUCUUACUAGAAGGGACUAGUUUAGGGUAAGUGAACUUGUUUUACAGCAAUCAUGUAAGUUAGCUUUUGAAGACUCCUUUUGAAAGGUAGUGCAUUUAUGAUGAAUUUCUUAAUUUACAUUGGUACAGAGUCAAUAAGGAAGAGCUGCUAGAGCUCUUUGCCAUAGUUCCCCUCUGUUCUCAUUUCUGGCCCUGUGUCUGCUGAUAGACCUGCUGAUAUAUCUAAUCACUGCCGAUACUUUCUGUUCCCUGAAUUUGGUGGAGAAUUCAUUUCCAGACUGAGUUAUUUUAUCCCCUCAUUGAUCCCAUGUAUUUAUUUUAUGGACUCAAUUGUUUUACAAGUAUUAUUAUUUUAGUUUUAGAUGUAUGUAGUUUUCUAGGCAGACUUCACAGAGGGGAAAAUCACAAAGCCAGAAUUAUUCAGCAGAUACCUUAUUCUAAGAAUUCUUGGCAAACAUAAAUGAUGAACUCUCCAGUUCCUUUGACCGCUUACAUACAUUCUUACCUGAUGCUCAUUGCGAAUUCACAUGGGUAGUUAGUUAUUCCGGGGAAUAGAGAGACAGGAAGUCUGAUUAACAUUGUUGUUUCUUUUGUCUUAACUGCUACUUGGGCCAGGAUUAUAGCACUGACACCAUAAUUAUAUCUCAUAAUGAUGCGCAAGAAAACUAAGAGGAAGAAAGACAACUCUUUGGCAUGAGGUUGCCAGAAAGAGACAUUACUUAGCUUGAAAAAAUAUAAUGACAACUGAGAAUGAUGAAAUUUAUGUACAGUAAUGAAAUAAUGCUGCCUUCAAGCAAUUAUGUCAAAAAUGACACUGGAAAGUAAAUUGAAUUUGGUCUUAUAGGAUGCAUGGAAGAAAACCACUUGAGUUGAGAUUAGAAAUGAGUGAAUCCAGUAAUUUCUCCCUUAAUCUGGAGAUCUGAAUGACAGGUUGCCUAUAUCUGAAAGAGAAAUGAUCAGGAAAAAAGAAAAAAAAUGUAAAAGGCAAACAGGGCUUGCUUUGAAUAGUUAGAUUGAGACGACAGAUAACCCUCAACAGGCUCAACAGAGGCACAUAAGAGUUGAAAACCCAUGCAGGCUUCCAGGGAUCUAGUGACACCAGUGUAGCAGGUGAGGAACUUAUACUUUUCCUCUAUGCCACAGUUUUUCUCAACCCUGGCUGCAUAUCAGUCAUGAUGGGUAGCUUUGAAAAAUACAGGCUUCUGGGUCCUGCCCCCACACUGGCUGGACUACUGGUGGGCCAGCAUCUAUAUAUUUUGAAAGUUUCUCAAGCAAUUCUUUAUACAAACAGGUUUAAACCACUGCUGUAAGGCUAAAUAGAAUUAAGAUAGAAAAUGUUCGACAAAUGGCAGUAGGCCCACAAACUAGGAAACCUUGAGUGAGCUGUUCUACCACUAGUUCAAGGGAUAGUUUCAUUUAAGUCACUUCUCUCUUUCCUCAUUUGUCAAAUGAGAAAAUAGGAUCACUAGUCUCCAAGGUUCUUUCUUUGAUGCUGUUACCUUGAGAGAAAGGUGCAUCAACCUUAUUGGUUAACUUGGGGAGUACUAAAGCCUUUGAUAGGACGCAGAUAAAUAGUAAAUUAUUGCAUUGCAUUUUGUUAUUGUAAAAACGGUGCUUGUGAUUUAAGUUUUACCAUAUUUUAGUUCCUCCCAGGAAAAAGAGUUGGGCUUAGAGGUCACAAAAGAAAAGGCAAACAUAGCACCAGUUUCCUGAAAUGAAAUACAGAAAUUACUCCCAUGAAGUUUUUUUCCUGUCAUAAUGUUGUUUUUUUUCUCUCUGGGAUUGGAAAAAAUAAUGAAUAGAUGUUGUGUGUAAAACAUUUUAACAUUUUACGUGUAUUGUUUAUACAAAUCUAAUUGGAAAAGUCUGUGUGGGCAACAUUUUAAGAUUCCAUGGAUAAUCUGCUUAAUUAUGUCUAGAGGUAAAUACUUUUUAAGUUAACAAUCUUUAUUACAAUAUAAUCAGUGGUUCCGAAGGUCUCCAGAGAAUGAGCUUUCUGAAUAAUUGUAACAUUGAUUGGGAUUACUUCCUUGAAUGUUUUUUCUCUUAAUUUGAACAGAAUUAGGGAAAUCAGGGUGUUUUUGGAGGGGGGUACUGGGGGUCGAACUCAGGACCUUGCAGUUGGCAGGCAGGUGUGGCGCCAUUGAGCUAUAUUCUUGGCAGGAAAUAAAAUUUAAAUCAAAUUGCAUCAACCAGGAACUCUUAGUAUAAAAUAAUGAAGUAUGAAAUUUAUUAAAUUGGGUAUUAUAUGAUUGCAGCUUCUGUAGGAAUGCCUAUACUUUGGCAUGAUAGAUGGAAACAUUUGUCUAGGGCCUAAGUCAUUUAAAAUAAAAAUUUGGAAUAAAUCUAAUUCUUGCUAAAGACAACAUCGAGUUAAAAUAACCUAAGAAGUAUUACUAAUAAAGGUCAAUAAUGGAAUAUUUUAAUGUGGUUAAAUGUAACAAGUCAGUGGAACACAUGGGAGGAUGUGAAAGUUUGUUACAGGAUAAACGGUAGAAGUAGAAUUUAAUGACAACACUGCUGUAUAAAUAGGUAUUGUUCUUUAUGUUUAGAAUACCUCCCUCCCAGCUGGAAAGUGCUGAAAAGUUUUAGUAGGUUUCACACACGGUUUGAGUGACAACUACCUUUCUUUUGUCAAAUAAUGUUGGUAAGUCCUCGAGCUAAUAUUAAGAAACACAAGGAAAUUUUCUUAUAGACGUAUUUAACCACUGUGGAAAAAGAACAAAAAAGAAAAAGGGGAGGUGAGGAGAGGGCAAACCAGUCUGCUAAAAUGUGGAAGAUAUGCUAGAACACUAACCUUACUUGUAAAAAGAUCCUUUUGGUUAAAAUAUUUUAAAGUUCAAAACACAGAGAAAGCUUUUCAAAUUGCACAUUUGGAUCACGUGGUUGCCACCACCUGAAUGUUAAUAAAGGGUUUUGACAGUGUGUGGAAUCUGAAAGUUUAUGUGAGUAAUAUUUGCAUUGUGAAAUAUAUUGACCAUUGAACUUUAUAUAGUAUUGUUACCUUUUAAUGGUGUUUGAUGUUAGUAUGUUAUGGUUGGUGAAGAGUUCAGAAAUAAAUGUCUGCUGUGAAUAACAGUGUACAGAUUUUGCCAAACCAUGAAAUCAAACAAAAUAAAGGAAGGAAUAAUACAUUUUAUUAGCAUGAAUAACAAAUAUUGAGAAAUUAAAUCUGAAUGUAGCAUAUUUGAGACACAUUGCUAAUUAGCCCAGCAUUGGAAACAUGGAGUUGAUGGCUUGGCUACUUGACAGUGGGAUGACAAAUGGCACAAUAAGAGUGACAUAAGACUUAGAGUGAGGUCUUUAACACACACUUCCUGUCUGCUCUGGGUUGAGGGCGUUCACUCUUUGGUGUUUACUGCUUAGUUCUGGCAGUACCAAGGGUUAUGAGAAUGUAAGGAAUUAGCAAGCAGCCUGAGCUAUGGAAUCAGAGAGUUCUACUUUCAAAUCUUGCCCCUGCCAAUUGCCAGCUGUGUGACUGUGGGCAUGUCUUUUCAGCAUUACAGACUUUAGUUUCUAAUCUGUAAAAUGGGGUCAAAAUACCUGCAUUACAGAGUUCCUAGAAAAUUAUAUGAGAUGCUUAGUACAGUGCCUGGCACAUAGUAAGUGCUCAAUAAAUUGCUGCUAUUAUUAUUAUUAAAACACAAAUAAACAUUGUAUAAAUAGAAGGUAAUAGUUUAUUCCUGUCUUGAUGAAAUGUUAAUAUUUAAUUUAUUAAAUUAUGCAUGAUGGUUUUUAGAGAGAAGGAAUAAGAAAUAAAUGUUACUAUUUUUCUUUGUUGUUGGUGAAGGAUACCUGAAACAAAAAUUUCUUUGUUGUUAAAUUACUCCUUGGCCUGAAGUGAUCAUUCAUAUUUUAUUUAUGAUGUGGUUAUAUAUCAUGUGCAUGAUAUUUAUAUGGUGAUUAGAGGCAAUGACUUUUAAUAUGAAUGCACUCUUACUAUCUAGAAAAUAAUCCAUCCACAAAUAUGAUUCCUCAUAAGUGGCAUCUGAAAUUCUUUAUAUUUCUCAUAUUUAUGAUGGCAUUUGAGUAUCUAAAAGUAGCGGUAUUUAGAGUUCUGAGUAUUCAUCGUGACUUCUAUGCUGUGUCUGCUGAGCAAGAGAGCGGUCACUGUCUUCAUUCAAGCCCUCACUACCACUUACCAGUAUCGCUUUAGUGACCUCACAUUCAAACUCUUUAAGUAUGUUAGCUUUUAGUAUUUGGUUUAUAUAUAUAUAUGAAUAUAUAUUAUAUAUGUAUAUAUAUGAUUAGUCUUUGUCAUUCAAGACUUUGCUGCUUGACUGACUUUUUCUGUGCACAAUUCUCAUUCAGAUACUCCCUUCUUCAAAAACCUUCAAUGACUGCCGAUCAUCUAUAUAUUCCACUGCUUGAUCUUUAAAUCAUGGCCCAAUCCCAGUGUACCUUACCAGUUUUGUUACCCGUGUCCUUUCUCAUGUACUGUAUUUGAUAGUUCUCUGACUUCCUUAGCCUUAUGUAAGUAAUAAGGGCCCUUUUAGCCUGUAGGUCAACUCUGAUCCCUUAAACUUGUCACUUACACUUUGAUAGGUAAGAUGAGAAAUUCUGUGUAUUACCUGAAGCCAAGAUGCUUCAGAUAUACCUAACUAGUUAUAAUCUCUUUCUUGUUCCCUUCCAAAUAUGCCCAAUCAGGGAGGGAGUCUUCUCUCAUUUCAUUCUUAAGCCUCCAGCCUAUUAAAUUAGGAUAUCUUUACAGACUCUUAUCCCUCUUAGUUGAGCCUCUGAGUGCAACCUAUUGAAUUUUGGGUCUGAAUAUAAAGUUUCUUGUAUGAGCACCUGAAAUAAUUGCCUGGAAAUCUAAAUUCCAUUCUUAAGAUUCUUGCCGGCCUCAUUUCCUCAUCAUCAUAUCACAUGAAAUGCUCUCUGUUCUCCUGCAUAUGAAUGCUACCCUGGAAUUUACUUAAGUUUACCAUACUCUAGAUUUGGCAGCUAGACCACAGCUUGUUGAAUGAAGUGCCACAGGCCAAAUCUAAUCCAAUUGUUAUUUUUUAAAUAAAGUUGUAUUGCAACACAUUUAUCUCCAAUCAUUUAUUAUUUGUGGCUGUAUGAAAAUAGCAGAGAUGAGUAGUUGCAACAGACACUAUAUAGCUUUCAAAGCCUUAAACAUUUACUAUGUUAUCCUUUACAGAAAAUAUUUGCUGAACCCUCAUAUAAAGCCAAAUAGUUUCCCCAACCUAUAUACUGUUUAUUUCUUGUCAACCCAUAAAUGCCCAGAAGGCUAGUUCAUUGAGACUACGAGGUUCUAAACCAAAUUACUUGUUUUUACUUGAACUUCCCUGCUUCCUCUUUCUAAUUUUCUUAAAAUGACCUUCCUGUGUUUUGCUUUUUUAGUAGAAGAGAUGCUAUAGUCAUAACAAUAGUCUCAUGUCUCUCAUGUCUGUCUUUUAAUGUAACAACUAGAUCUUUUUUUUUUUUUUUUGGUACCAGGGAUCGAACUCGGGUCCUUGCGCUUGUGGGGCAAGCAGCAGAACCACUGAGCUAAAUCCCCAGCCCUACAUCUAGAUCUCAAUAUACAAGCCUUUCAAUAUUACUAACAUCUCUACUCAUGGACAUUAAAUAUCUCUAAGAUUAGGUCUUUCCAUUCUUCAGUGUCUUCAACUCAGGUCUUCUGAGCUUCACCACUUUAAAACAUUUGUAAUCGCCAGAUCUUUCCCAUAUUAUAACAUCCACAUCUUCCAGGCUCUGGCCUGCAGCAUCCCCAAAGUCCAUGUUUCCUAAUCUUCUAGGUUUUCCAAUGUCUCCAUUAGUUUUCAAGGCCUAGGUUUUGUCUUUCAAGGUUCAGAGUUCCAACUUGCAAAUCUUCUACAGUUACAAUUCUUCAAUAUUUCUUAUACACGGGUCUUGUAAAGUCUAUGUAUUUCAUAGUAUCCAAGUCUAGUUUGUAAAGUAUCUUAUAGCACCCAUAUAAUUCAUUUCCCCUAUAUUUUAAUGUCUCCUGCAUCCUGGUUUUACAGUGCCUUUUUAAAAAUUAUCAGUUAAAGUAUUUCAAUAUCUCUAAAUACUUGUCCUUCCAACAUUCAUGUGUUCAAAUAUCGCCAGUGUCUGAAAUGCCUAAGUCUCUUAACAUCCAGCUAUUUUAAUAGCUAGAUCUCCUAAUAUCCAUAGGUGCCAAAUUCCUUGAUUCCCAGCAUCAUUAAAACGUACUUACUCUAAAUUCUGUUUUUUGACAGGAAUAUAUCAAUAUUCAAGUUUUCUAGUUGGUACCUCCUAAUAUUUAGGGCUUCUGAUUUUAUGAAUUGUAAAUGUCGGGAUCUUCUAUUUUCCAUACCCACCAGUUCUCAGGGGCCCCAAGGUACAGAACUUGCAAUGCCUCUAGUAUCCAGGGCUUCCAGUGUCUAUGGCUUCAUGUACUCAAUAUCCCAGUGUUCAGAGUAUCCAAAGUCUGCAAUGUUCAGAGUAACUAACCAAUGUCUCCAAAAUACAAGACUUGCAAUGUCUCCAACAUCCUGUGCUUCCAAUGUUUCCAAUGUCUAGGGUUUCCAGUGGCUUCAGUGUCAAGGUCUUCCAGCAACUCACAGUCUUCCAACAAUCUCAAGGUCUUCCAGACAAUCUCGGUCUUCCAGAAAAUCCAUGUCUUCCGGAAAAUUAAUGUCUUCCACAAUCCUGCAUGUCUUCCAGCAAAUCUCGUCUUCCGCAAGCAAAUCCAGAUCUUCCAGGAAAAUCCAGAUCUUCCAGAAAAAUCCAUGUCUUCCAACAAUUUCAACGUCUUCCUAUGAGUCUGUGUCUUCCAGGAAAAUCUGUGUCUUCCACCAAAUCCAAGUCUUCCAAUGAAUUCAGGUCUUCCAGAAAAAUCCAGGUCUUCCAGCAAACUAUGUCUUCCACCAAAUCAAGUCUUCCAGUCAACUCCUGUCUUCCAGACAAAAUCUGUGUCUUCCACUAAAUCCAGCUCUUCCAGUAAAGCCAUGUCUUCCAGAAAAUUCAUGUCUUCCAGUAAUCUCCAGUUCUUCCAGCCAAUGUAUGUCUUCCUGAAGAUUCAAGUCUUCCAGAAAAUCCACGUCUUCCAGAAAAUUCAUGUCUUCCAUAAAACAUCCAGUCUUCCAGCAAACCAAUAUCUUCCAAAAAAUCCAGGUCUUCCAGACAAUUCAGGUCUUCCAGAAAAUCCACGUCUUCCAGAAAAUCCACGUCUUCCAAAAAAGCUAUGUCUUCCAUCAAACCCAUAGCUUCAAAAAAAUCUAUGUCUUCCAGAAAAUCCAAGUCUUCCAACAAAUUCAUGUCUUCCAUCAGUUUUAUGUCUUUCAGCCUUCCUAUGUCUUCCAACAAAGCUACGUCUUCCAGAAAAUCCAUGUCUUCCAACAAAGUCACGUCUUCCAACAAAGCCGUGUCCUCCGGAAAACCUGUCUUCCAGUGAAGCCAUGUCUUCCAUCAACUCCAUGUCUUCCUACAUCUCCAGGGCUUCCAGCAUCUCCAGGGCUUCCAGCAUCUGCUCGUCUUCCACCAUCUCCACAUCUUCCAGCAUCUUCAGGUCUUCCUACAGCUACCCAGUCUUCCAUCAGCAGGUUUAAUAUCCACGUCUUCCAACAUCUCCGCUGCACCAGCCUUCUAAUAUCCAGGUCUUCCACUGUCUGCAAUAUCCAGGUAUUCUAACUUAUUCUAUAGUCCAGGUCUUAAACCCUUUCCCCAGAUCAAGGCUUUUCCAAAUCUAGUCCUCCUCUGUCCAAGCUUUCCCAUGUUCAAAACUUUCCACAGGGAGAUUGCCAACUCAGGUAUUCCUGCUUCUAGUAUAAUUAGCUUUAAAAAUUCAAUAGGAUAUUCCUACUUACAGGCCAGAUUUUAUGGGCAAGCUGUAAUUUAACUGUGGUUUUGAUAUUAGAAAAUGUGUGUUUAUUCUUUGCAACUUUUUAAAAUAGUGUUCAUAGGAAGUUUUACAGAAUAAACAGGUUACUGGAGUAAAUUUUAAAACUUUUUAAUGCUCAUAGAUUUUAGAAUCAACUAUGCUUAGGUGUAAGUGAAAUUUUAUUGUUAUGAGAAAAAUUCAUAUUUGGAGACUUAUUUUAGAUAAAAUUAACAUAUAGUGUAUCUGUCCACUUUUAAAUAACAUCAUUUUUACUUGAUUUUAUGUGUAAUAAUAACAAUAAUAAUAAUAAUAAUAAUAAUAAAUAGCAAUUGCUGUGUCCGGGCACUGUUCUAAGGUCCUUACAUACAUGAACUCAUUCUGUCUUUGUAGUCUCCCAUUAAAGUAGGUAUUGUCAUUAUCCCCAUUUUGCAGAUGAGGAAAUUGACACACAGAGUUGAAGUAAUGUGUCCAAAAGACAUAACUAAUAAGUAACAGAGUUGGAAUUUGAACCCCACUAGCCUGUUUCCAGAGUCCAUGAUCUUAAUCACUAUGUUAUGAUACAUGUUAUUGAAAAUCAAGAUGAAAAUUUUGAGAUCUGAAGCUUGAUUGGUCCCAAAUUGUGUUUCAAAUAUAAAAUCACAUACACAAAUGAUCUUGUUUAUCCUGUCACUACUGGAAACUAUUCAUAUUCAAAGCUUUCAUUCCUCGACCAGCUAUUGCAAUUCCUUUGCUCAUGUAUAUGAAAGUAGACGCUAUUGCUUCCUGAUACCACAUUUAGCUUGGACAAGAACACUGAGUUCAUACACCCUUUGCUUUAGAAUCAUAUUCACAGCUCUUUGCUUUGAGUACUGGUGCUUGGAAUUUAACUUUUCCAUCCAUUCUAAUCUUUUAUCACUGACUAUUCUCCAAUUUGAAACUUAUUGUCCAAACCAUUUAUCAUUAGUUUGCUUUUGACCUCCAGGAUCCAACUGCUUCUUCACGUAUCAGUGACUUCCUUGGGUUACUCACCACUGCUUUGUGUUCACCUAAUGGUAGCUACAUCUCCUUAAAUUCCAGCAUGUUGAUCUAGAGAACUAACUAAUUGCUUGGUUCUUUAAGUCUCAGCUCUCACCAGGCACUUCCAGCAAUGUACCCGUGCUUCUGCCUGGUAUGAACAACAUUAAAUCCACACAAUGAAGUUAUCCUUAGGCAAGGAAUCUCUAAAAGUCUGGAGUCAUCUAAGAGGUAAUAAAAAGGAACAAGAACAAUAAUAAUUAGAAUAACAAUUCCUUCUGAAUUGCAGCUUACAAAGUGCCAUCACUUCAUUUAUCCAUCCUUCCGUUCAACAAAUAUUUCUUGAGUGCCAACUGUGUGACAGGCAUGUUUUAGAGGAGCUUAAAAUCAGCUGGAGAGCAUACAUACCAUAUGCAAAUAAUUGAACAAUUAUUCAUUAAUUGUGGUAAGGACAUUAAGGAAAAGUAAAUAAAGAAUCUAUGAGAAUUUAGAAAGUCAAGGAAAGCAUUCUUGAGGAAGAAUGGUGACUCUGAAGGAUGUAGUUUCUCAUUUGUUUAUUAAAACAGGCUUGUGACUUAGAUACUACAGAUUUUUUUCUGUGAGUUUUACCGAAUUAGAAUAAUGACAAUGAGUAUGAGAUCCAGGUGUUUGGACUUUUUUUUCUAAUUCUAUCUAAAUCAAAGAAUAUAAAAAUGUUUAUACUCUUUAACUUAGUAUUUUCACUUCAAGGAACCUAUCCAAGGAAACUAUUUAAAAUGUGGAUAAUUUAUGCACAAAGAUGUUCCUCACAUACUUAUUUGGUGUAGCAAAUAAUAGAAAAACCCAAGUCUAGCUUUAAGCAAAUGAUUAAGUAAAUGUGCUAUUCAUGUAUGAUGUAAUAUUAUUCCAUUAAAAUAUUUAUGGUAUGCUCCUUAUACAAUGUUCAGUGAAAAAUCCACAUACAAGAUGAUAUAAAAUAUGGUUUCAACUAUUUUAAAAUACAUAACCAGGGACUAGAAGUAAACAGACUGGAGAUUGUGAACCUAUGACUGGCUGAGCAAGAUUAUGUGUGAUUUUGUUUUCUUCUUUAUAUUCUUAGUAUUUUUACCCAAUGUUCUUACAAUGUAAAGGUAUUUUCUAGUCAGACAAAAUCUAUCAAUACUUGUGCACCAAUUAAUCAUUUAUCUUUAUAUUGUACAUGCAAUCAAUUUUUAUUAUUGAAAUCCCUUCAAAAUAUAAACAGUGAAAAAAAUUAAAUUUUCAAAUAAUCUCAAUGCCCAGAAAUAAUCAUUGUAAAGACUUUGGCACUUGUUUAAGACUUUUGCAUAGGUAUGUUUAUUUUCUUUUACAAAAUGGAAGCCUU
ensembl:lncRNA